UCAUCCCUCCAGAUGUGGAAAUGAGUUUGUAUGAGGAUCAUAACAUUAGAGGAGGCUAUCUGGGUGUUGAAGAAAAUAAAACAAGGAUAAGAAAGAAAGAGGGGCUGAUUGUUUUGAGAGGUAGAUGAGGAUAACAAAAUGAAUGGCCCAGGGAGAUGAACGCUUCUGACAGGGUCCAUGACAAGAAAAUAUUACCAGCUCCAACACCUGAUUACUCAUGGAAGUUUCCACAGAAUCUGCCAAUGUCUGAGCCAUCUGCUCCACCUAGACUUUUUUCUUUCAACCCAUUUAAUAUGAGAAUGUAAACAUACCAGUAAUGCUGAGGAACAGAACAGCAGCAAGAGUGAUGAUGAUGAUAGCCAUGAUUUAUCAGGCAUCAAGUACCACCAGGCAGCUGGGCCAGGUGCUCCGAGCACCUCCGUGGUUCCCAUCCCUGGGGAGAUAAGACAACACAAAUAUACUGGGGUGCCGCCCCAUAUCAGUUAAAUCAGAAUAUUCUUCUUCAUUAUUAUUCUCAGAGCUCCCUUUAUAAACUCUUCUUUUUUUUUAUAAUUAACAUGAAUCUUCCACUCUUAUUAAAGCAGUGUAUCAUCCUUGUAGGAUAUUUGGACAAUAAAAAA